rnacentral:rRNA from 1 species
GACGAACGCUGGCGGCGUGCUUAACACAUGCAAGUCGAACGGAAAGGCCCUGCUUUUGUGGGGUGCUCGAGUGGCGAACGGGUGAGUAACACGUGAGUAACCUGCCCUUGACUUUGGGAUAACUUCAGGAAACUGGGGCUAAUACCGGAUAGGAGCUCCUGCUGCAUGGUGGGGGUUGGAAAGUUUCGGCGGUUGGGGAUGGACUGGCGGCUUAUCAGCUUGUUGGUGGGGUAGUGGCUUACCAAGGCUUUGACGGGUAGCCGGCCUGAGAGGGUGACCGGCCACAUUGGGCCUGAGAUACGGCCCAGACGCCUACGGGAGGCAGCAGUGGGGAAUAUUGCACAAUGGGCGGAAGCCUGAUGCAGCAACGCCGCGUGCGGGAUGACGGCCUUCGGGUUGUAAACCGCUUUCGCCUGUGACGAAGCGUGAGUGACGGUAAUGGGUAAAGAAGCACCGGCUAACUACGUG